rnacentral:rRNA from 1 species
UACAGAGGUCUCAAGCGUUGUUCGGAUUCAUUGGGCGUAAAGGGUGCGUAGGCGGCGCGGUAAGUCGGAUGUGAAAUCUCGGAGCUUAACUCCGAAACUGCAUUCGAUACUGCCGUGCUUGAGGACUGGAGAGGAGACUGAAAUUUACGGUGUAGCGGUGAAAUGCGUAGAUAUCGUAAGGAAGACCAGUGGCGAAGGCGGGUCUCUGGACAGUUCCUGACGCUGAGGCACGAAGGCCAGGGGAGCAAACGGG